rnacentral:lncRNA from 1 species
GACUUACAUUAACCAUGCAUUCUCCAUUAAUAAGAAAAGACAUCCAUCCAUGUUUUAAAUAAAGAGCUACAAAAAGUAAAAUAUUGAAAUGCUUUUAUUUGUAACUUGGUUAACAUUUAUGGAAAAAUCUACUAUGCCCUAGGUUAUGUGAUAAAAGGAAGCUGGUUCUAACAUAUCUUCCAAAGAAAAGGGAAAAUCUUUAUAAUUAAAAUAAGUAUUUGCCUAGUUGUCAGAAUAUUCUUAUUGAAAUCAAGUGUGCCACUUUUUCUUAAUCCGACUCCACUAAUUUAUUUGCCAUGGCUAAAAUAUGUGGGUUCUGGUUGCUUUGGGAAUGGGCUGUCUGGUUGUUAUUUAUUUAUGUUUUUAUUUUACAUCUUGUGGGUAGAAUUGUUUUUUGUACUCCGAGCCUGUUUCAAAUCCAGCCCACCCCUAUCAUUUAACAAUGAGAUGAGAAAAAGAUCUUAGCUGGGUUGAACCUUUUUUGUUGUUGUUGUUUUUGUUUUCUUUUUUGAAAACUGAAAUAGCAUUUCUUCCAUCUCUGAAAUCUAAUUAUUCGCUUUUCUAGUGUAGGUCCACUGAACAGACUUGUAAUGAGCACAAGGUUCCUUCAAAGGGUGAGGUCAUCAUGACUACCAUAAUGCCUAAACGAUUUUAUAUAAUUGUCCUUUACAACACAAGCAAAUUAUCUCUGAAACUGGGUUCCACUUCACAGAUCUUAUUUUGCUCUUAAAACCGCCGGCCACACCCUCAUCAGCCCACACCCCAAGCUGCAUUUUUCACUUGACCUAUAAUUACAGAGGCAGGGCCAGCUCUACUCUAUCCCAACUAUGCCACACCCGACAGAGAUCCACACAUUUAGCAACAUGCUUUCAUAUUCACCUUCAAGCAAACCGAUUUCAAUGUAUCUCUUGGCCCCUGAUUUGGUUUUUAGUUUUUAUAAUGGACACUUUCAUUUUUACAAAUCUAUCAUGACUAUAUUUUUAGAUGAGAAAUAAAUACUUGGUGUUACUAAGCUUCAUAAUGAAAUGAUAAAUAACUUUGCUGAGGGAUGAAAAUAUUUGUCUGAGGGACUAAGAUAUAUAGAAGCAAAAUCUUUAGCCUUUGUAGGGAUGGGACAUAAGACAAUAAGACACAAAUUAAAUGCACAUUAACUUUGUCAGUAAGUAUACAAGUGUGUAGUAGAGGCAAAAUCCAU